ensembl:lncRNA
CUUCAAUGGUCUGCCCAAGUCACCCACUGUGAGGAGGCCAGGUCUCAAGCUCAAGCUCCUUGGUAGAGCCCUAUGGCCAGGCUCAAGCCCACAGAGCCCUGCUGGACUGUCAAGCUUCUGAACCAGAGAUGGAAGAGCUGAAUCUUAUUCCUGACCAUUCUGACCAACAUAGUGGUCUCAGCAGCAUGGAGCAGGUAUCCAUCCCUUGGGACUCGUCUGAAUCCAUAGAAUGAGGGGCGGACCUUUGUCCAUCUCCUCCCUGGAGGGGAGAUUCAGUUCUUCAGAAACCCACACCAAUGAGGAAGAAGAAGGAGGAGGAAGAGGAGGAGAAGGAGCAUGAAGAGGAGGGGGAGGUGUGUGGGAAGGAGAGGAGAAAGAAGAAAAACCAACAUCAUGAUUAUUAGAAGCGUUCGUCCCCACGUAAUCAGAUUUCUGAGUUGACUGGUAGACAUAUGAUUUCAUCUGGCUAGUUGCACUUAUACCAAAAGCAAAGUUUCUUUUUACCAAAUCCUAUUUCCUAUUGCUGGGACCUGGGGAAAUAUUACCUAGUAUUAUGGCUUGGUCUAGAUGUCGCCC